UUUUUUGAGAAUUUUAGUUGGUUGAUAUGUUAAAUAAAGCAUGUUUUUAAAAGUAUUGGAGAAAGAAAUUUUUGUUAUAGUUAUUUAAGUUUUAGUACUGUUAAGGAAAAUUUUAUAAUUUUUAAAAAAGUUUUUCUUACUUUUUGUAUCAUGGAUUGAUGAGUUUUUAAAACUAGAUAUUUUUCUCGAAGUUUUGUGGGCUAUUUUUUUUAUGUUUAGCACUAACUAGUUGUUGUAGAAUAACCAUUAGAAUAAAGAAAAAUAGUAAUAAUAUGUUUUCGAACAAAACAGUAGCUUGUUUCUGCUUUAUUUUUCUGAGAAAUGUUUGUUUGUUAGUUAAAUUUAGCUUUUUAGGGAUAAGCCUAAAAAGCUCUCUAAAAUUAUUUUUUAAGUUUAGGAGUGUGGGCACAAAAGCUGCCAUCUUUUAGAGUUCGUUUUAGAUCUUAAUUUAACUAAGAGUGAGAAUUUUUUGUUAAAAGUAGAUUAUAUUAAGAAUUUUUUUGGUUUAAAAUAAUGUUAGUAUUAGUACUGUUUUGUCGUGUGAUUUUUCUAUAUUGUUGUUUAGUGAUAUCAGUUAUUUCGCUGUAAUUAAAAUUAAAAAAAAGGAAUUCGGCAAGUACAAAGCUCAACUGUUUAUCAAAAACAUAGCUUAUUGAUUUUUUAUAAUAAGUUUUUUCUGCCCGGUGGUGUUUUUAACGGCCGCGGUAUUUUGACCGUGCAAAGGUAGCAUAAUCAUUUGUCUUUUAAUUGGGGGCUAGUAUGAAAGAAAGUUUGAAGCUUUAACUGUCUCUUUUUUAUUUUUGUAAUUUGCUGUUUUUGUGAAGAAGCAAAAGUUCUCAAAAAAGACAAGAAGACCCUAUUAAGCUUUUAUCUUUUUGUUUUUAUUCGUUUGAAUAUAAAAACAAAAAGAUUUGGUUGGGGUGACUAAAGAAGAAAAAUUUAUCUUCUUUUUUAGAAAUAACUAGUUGUUUAAUGAAGACCCAAAAUUUUUUGGUUGUACGAAUUAGUUACUAUAGGGAUAACAGCGUUAUCUUUUCAUAAAGUUCUUAUUGAAGAAAAGGAUUGCGACCUCGAUGUUGACUUAUUUUAUCCUAUUAAGGUGUAGAAGCUGUGAGGGUGAGUCUGUGCGACUAUUAAAAAAGUACGUGAGUUGAGUUCAGACCGGCGUAAGCCAGGUUGGUUUCUAUCUUUUUUAUUCUGGGAGAUAAAAAAGUAGUACGAAAGGACCUUUUUUUUGUAUUUUAUAUUUACAUUUUUAAUUUAUUUUUAAAAUUGUAGUUUUAUUUGUUAUGUAAGUUAAUUUAU
rnacentral:rRNA from 1 species